GGGGCUUACACAUGCAAGUCGGGCGGUAACAGGGAGAAGCUUGCUUCUCUGCUGACGAGCGGCGGACGGGUGAGUAAUGUAUGGGGAUCUGCCUGAUGGCGGGGGAUAACUACUGGAAACGGUAGCUAAUACCGCAUAAUGUCUACGGACCAAAGCGGGGGACCUUCGGGCCUCGCGCCAUCAGAUGAACCCAUAUGGGAUUAGCUUGUAGGUGAGGUAACGGCUCACCUAGGCGACGAUCCCUAGCUGGUCUGAGAGGAUGAUCAGCCACACUGGGACUGAGACACGGCCCAGACUCCUACGGGAGGCAGCAGUGGGGAAUAUUGCACAAUGGGCGCAAGCCUGAUGCAGCCAUGCCGCGUGUAUGAAGAAGGCCUUCGGGUUGUAAAGUACUUUCAGUCGGGAGGAAGGUGGUAAGGUUAAUAACCUUAUCAAUUGACGUUACCGACAGAAGAAGCACCGGCUAACUCCGUGCCAGCAGCCGCGGUAAUACGGAGGGUGCAAGCGUUAAUCGGAAUUACUGGGCGUAAAGCGCACGCAGGCGGUUGAUUGAGUCAGAUGUGAAAUCCCCGGGCUUAACCCGGGAAUUGCAUCUGAUACUGGUCAGCUAGAGUCUUGUAGAGGGGGGUAGAAUUCCAUGUGUAGCGGUGAAAUGCGUAGAGAUGUGGAGGAAUACCGGUGGCGAAGGCGGCCCCCUGGACAAAGACUGACGCUCAGGUGCGAAAGCGUGUGGAGCAGACAGGAUUAGAUACCCUGGUAGUCCACGCUGUAAACGAUGUCGACUUGGAGGUUGUGCCCUUGAGGCGUGGCUUCCGGAGCUAACGCGUUAAGUCGACCGCCUGGAGAGUACGGCCGCAAGGUUAAGACUCAAAUGAAUUGACGGGGGCCCGCACAAGCGGUGGAGCAUGUGGUUUAAUUCGAUGCAACGCGGAGAACCUUACCUACUCUUGACAUCCGGAGAACUUAUCAAAGAUGCUUUGGUGCCUUCGGGAACUCUUAGACAGGGCUGCAUGGCUGUCGUCACCUCGUGUUGGAAAUGUUGGGUUAACUCCCGGACCAACGCAACCCUUAUCCUUUGUGCCACCGCUGAUGCCGGAACUCAAAGAAACUGCCGUGAUAACCCGAAGAAGGGGGGGAUGACGUCCAUCAUCAGGGC
rnacentral:rRNA from 1 species